CGGCGGACGGGUGAGUAACACGUGGAUAACCUACCUAUAAGACUGGGAUAACUUCGGGAAACCGGAGCUAAUACCGGAUAAUAUUUUGAACCGCAUGGUUCAAAAGUAAAAGACGGUCUUGCUGUCACUUAUAGAUGGAUCCGCGCCGCAUUAGCUAGUUGGUAAGGUAACGGCUUACCAAGGCAACGAUGCGUAGCCGACCUGAGAGGGUGAUCGGCCACACUGGAACUGAGACACGGUCCAG
rnacentral:rRNA from 1 species